rnacentral:rRNA from 1 species
UAUGUAGGGUGCAAGCGUUAUCCGGAUUUAUUGGGCGUAAAGGGCUCGUAGGCGGUUCGUCGCGUCCGGUGUGAAAGUCCAUCGCUUAACGGUGGAUCCGCGCCGGGUACGGGCGGGCUUGAGUGCGGUAGGGGAGACUGGAAUUCCCGGUGUAACGGUGGAAUGUGUAGAUAUCGGGAAGAACACCAAUGGCGAAGGCAGGUCUCUGGGCCGUUACUGACGCUGAGGAGCGAAAGCGUGGGGAGCGAACAGG